GAGGGGCAGCAUGGUCUUAGCUUGCUAAGACUGAUGGCGACCGGCGCACGGGUGAGUAACACGUAUCCAACCUGCCGUCUACUCUUGGACAGCCUUCUGAAAGGAAGAUUAAUACAAGAUGGCAUCAUGAGUCCGCAUGUUCACAUGAUUAAAGGUAUUCCGGUAGACGAUGGGGAUGCGUUCCAUUAGAUAGUAGGCGGGGUAACGGCCCACCUAGUCUUCGAUGGAUAGGGGUUCUGAGAGGAAGGUCCCCCACAUUGGAACUGAGACACGGUCCAAACUCCUACGGGAGGCAGCAGUGAGGAAUAUUGGUCAAUGGGCGAGAGCCUGAACCAGCCAAGUAGCGUGAAGGAUGACUGCCCUAUGGGUUGUAAACUUCUUUUAUAAAGGAAUAAAGUCGGGUAUGUAUACCCGUUUGCAUGUACUUUAUGAAUAAGGAUCGGCUAACUCCGUGCCAGCAGCCGCGGUAAUACGGAGGAUCCGAGCGUUAUCCGGAUUUAUUGGGUUUAAAGGGAGCGUAGAUGGAUGUUUAAGUCAGUUGUGAAAGUUUGCGGCUCAACCGUAAAAUUGCAGUUGAUACUGGAUAUCUUGAGUGCAGUUGAGGCAGGCGGAAUUCGUGGUGUAGCGGUGAAAUGCUUAGAUAUCACGAAGACUCCGAUUGCGGAGGCAGCCUGCUAAGCUGCAACUGAC
rnacentral:rRNA from 1 species